CUUCCACAAUCGCCGCACGCCGGACACAGGAUGCACCACGAGCAGCCAUGGCGAGGAGAGGAGAGGAAGGGAGCGUGGAGGCCGAGGAGGAGGAAAGCCUCGCCCCCGGCGAUGAAAGGUGGAUGCCGCGGACGGCGGCGCGGAAGGCGGGCGCUCGCCACCCCAGGGAUAGGGGCCCGCCGCGUCGGUCGCGGGCGUCGGCGCUGGCGGCGCGUUCUACGGCUUCCCCUCCAACGUCGCAACGCUCCAGGUCAUGGCACGAGAUCCCCUUCCUCCCCACGUCCCAGUCCCAGCUCCUACCCCGACUUCCAGCGCCGCCUCCCCGCCGCGGACGCGCUCCGGACGGGCCAAGCGCCACGCCGGUCACCGGCGACGAGCCCCGGACGGCGAUGGCGACGAAGACGAUGCGUUCCGGGACGCGCCACCACCGCGCGCCCUCGCCAUGCCCCCGCUGCACGCCUUCGUCUACUUCGCGCAGCCGCCGCAGGUUCCGAGCUCCUCAUUCGCAUGCGCCCCGCCCACUGCGGCUCCCUCCGCCGCGCGGCGCGCCGCUAGGGCGCCAAGCCCUUCCACUUCGCGGGUUCACGCGUCGAGGUGGGAACCUCUGGCCGACGGAACCUGCCGCCUCGCCUUCUACCGCGACGCCGCCUUCGCGUUCUCGGUUUCCGCGGGGCCUCCGCCGUGCUGCGCUGCGACGUCAAGCACGAGUUGUCCUUCCUUGACGUCACCGAGGUCCUGGCGUUCCAGAACGACGGCUCGCUCCUCCUCUGGCUCUCAGCACAUUACAGGUCCUCAAUCAGGAUGAGACACCCCUUCUGUACAGUCUUGUGUUUGGUGAAGGAGUUGUGAAAGAUGACACAUCAGUUGUACUCUUCAGUGCGCUCCAGAACUUUGAUCUUAGCCAAAUUGAUGUAGCCGUCGUGCUGAAGUUCUUGAGGAAUUUAUGUUAUCUAUUUCUGCCAAGCACUUUCCUUGGAGUGUUUGCUGGAUUGCUCAGUGCUUGCAUAAUAAAGAAAUUAUACAUCAGGAGGUCCAUUCACCUAAUAAAACCUUUUGUUGAUAAAAAGAAGAUCAAUGAUAUCACACUUUAGAUUAAAUUACCCUCAUGAUGCUCAUGGCUUAUCUCUCAUAUAUGCUGGCUGAGUUGCUAGACUUGAGCGGCAUUCUCACUGUGUUCUUCUGUGGUAUUGUGAUGUCACAUUACACCUGGCAUAAUGUGACAGAUAGCUGAAGAGUUACAACCAUGUAAUUAUACCGACUCCAUUAAUUUUCCCUCUGCAAAGGUUCAUUGUGGAGACUUUUCUUUUCCUGUAUGUUGGUAUGGUUGCGCUUGAUAUCGAAAAGUGGGAGUUUGCCAGUGACAGCCCUGGGAAAUCCAUUUGCAUAAGCUCAAUUUUGCUAGGAUUAGUUCUGGUUGGAAGAGAUCGUAAUAUGGUGGGCCGGGCUGAUGAGAGGUGCCAUGUCCAUUGCUCUGUCUUACAACAAGUUUAACUUUUCCUCUUGGAACUGCAAUUCACAAGAUCUGGAUACACUCAGCUUCACGGCAAUGCGAUAAUGAUCACCAGCACAAACACUGUCGUCCUAUUUAGCACCAUGGGCCUUGACGAGGGGGAAGAUGUUUGAUGUGUUGGAUGAGAAAGGGCUAAUGGUGGUGGCUAUCAUUCCCGAAACUAAAGUAGAGCUUGUCAUUAUGAGUGCUAUAUUUGUAGCAAAGAAAGUUUAAGAUUACUUUAAUGGUAAACCAUGAUGUUAGCUAGGAGACUUCAUCCGUGUGAGGACAGUAGUCAAAUACAUAGUGUAAACCUGCUGAAAUAUAAUGAUUUUCUGUUACUUGGAUUAUGUGUACCAUGCAAACUCCACUUGCGAAAUUCCCAUUCUACAUUGCUAUGUUGGUUCUGUA